AAAAUGUGUUGGUCUUUUAGCUCUUUUGUUAUUAUCUGGAUGUACCUCAAAAGAAUCUUAAGACUGUGGCGAUCUUAUAAGAUGCUUUUUUC
ensembl:misc_RNA